rnacentral:antisense_RNA from 1 species
CCAAGUCUCAAAUAUUGAAGAAUCUCUAACCAGGGACACCAGUCCCAACGAAGACCUUGGGCGAUUUCAAAGUGCGGGCACCUCGAUUCCCCGAAUCUGUAGUGUGGCUGGUAUCGGUGUUUCCCUGGUUUAACUAGCCUGCUUGAUGGGGAAAUUGAGGCACAGAAGCCAAGACAUGCGCUAAAGGUCAUGCGGGCUAUGAAUGGAGCUGGAAUGUGAAUGCAGGCCAUGUGACUCCAGAGCCCAUGUUCUUGAACCCUUAGAAAGACAGCAGCAACACACCUGGUGCAGCAGCUGCUUAGUUGGAGUGGCUGACAAGGUUGGCAGAGGAUCCCGUUCCUCCCGUGGAGUGGCUGCCAUGACACUGCGUGCACUGAAGCUGCUCCUAUUUCUGAAAUAUGUAUUGUUAUUUUUUUCCCUCCAUGUUGAACAUUAUACUCUUCUGUUCUUUCGUA